GGUGUUGUUAAAUUGGAGGUGCAGCAGUGGUGAUGAUGGUAGUGGUGGUGAGAAGGAUUGGUGGUGAUGAAACUAGUGGUGAUGAAGAUGGCUGGUGAUGAAGAUGGGUAUUGAGAAAGAUAUUGGUGGUGUUGAAGAUAAUUUUGGUGAUGAAGAUGAGUAUUGAGGAUGAUAUUGGUGGUGUUGAAGAUAAUUUUGGUGAUGAAGAUGGGUAUUGAGGAUGAUAUUGGUGGUGUUGAAGAUAAUUUUGGUGAUGAAGAUGGGUAUUGAGGAUGAUAUUGGUGGUGUUGAAGAUAAUUUUGGUGAUGAAGAUGGGCAUUGAGAAAAAUAUUAGUGGUGUUGAAGGUGGGUAUUAAAAAAAGAUGGAUAUUUUUAAAAAGAAGA